rnacentral:rRNA from 1 species
UGCCAGCCGCCGCGGUAAUACGUAGGGUCCAAGCGUUGUCCGGAUUUAUUGGGCGUAAAGAGCUCGUAGGCGGUUUGGUAAGUCGGGUGUGAAAACUCAGGGCUCAACCCUGAGACGCCACUCGAUACUGCCAUGACUAGAGUCCGGUAGGGGAGUGUGGAAUUCCUGGUGUAGCGGUGAAAUGCGCAGAUAUCAGGAGGAACACCAACAGCGAAGGCAGCACUCUGGGCCGGUACUGACGCUGAGGCGCGAAGGCGUGGGUAGCGAACGGGAUUAGAUA